CUACUACAAUCUUAACUCUCAGAUCUUAUAUCAGUUAUAUCCUGUUAAAGUCCUACUUUUUGAGUAUGGAUUGUCUUACCUCUGUGCGUACGUUUACUGUUAGCCUUCUUGAAAGCUUCCUGCUAUGCAAAGCCGGAAAUUCAAUUUGGUGUACAAUGGACAUGACUUAAGCAGAACAGCAUUUGUUUCAAAAACUCUGCCUUAUACCACGACACCUACAAAAUUACAUUUGGUUCUAUGAUGACAUCUAGAAGAAAAUUAUUGUAAGAUUGACUUCAACAUCAGUAAAUUACAAAAAAAAAAAAAAAAAAAAAAACAAUGACUCAUUUUGUUUGCCGGUAUCUUGAAAAUAUGAAUGAAACUUUAAGCAAGCUUUAGUCUACUGCAGAAAAGAAGUGAAGAGCACAAGGGUUGUCGCCCUUUAUGUGUUAACAAAGGAGAUGGAGAGACAUUGACAGUGGGUAACAUUUCUUGAAAAAUGUGACUGAUAUUGGACUCUGAUUCCUGGAUGAUGUAAUUCCUACAGCAUCAAGCAACGAUUAAUUACUUCCCAUUGUCUGCACGGUUAGUUUUUAAAGUAUUGUAAUACAGUGAAAUUGUGACAGUGCUGUCAUGUUGAGUCAGAUUCUGUAAUCAUUUCAGGUAGCUGAUCUUAUCUUUUCUAGAUAUAUAAUUUUUGAGAUGUUUGUAGGAAUAAGUGGUAACAAAUGCAUACUAAUAGACAUUUGAUUAAAUUAUGAAAAUAUCUUUGAUUUCUAUGUGAUUUCCUGAUUGCUGUAGUUUGCCAUGAAAGAAACACAAUGCAUUAUAUUAAUUUUAAAUAAACGAUGGAGCUCACUUGCAA